AGAUUGAACGCUGGCGGCAUGCCUUACACAUGCAAGUCGAACGGCAGCACGGGAGCAAUCCUGGUGGCGAGUGGCGAACGGGUGAGUAAUAUAUCGGAACGUGCCCAGUCGUGGGGGAUAACGCAGUGAAAGCUGUGCUAAUACCGCAUACGAUCUAUGGAUGAAAGCGGGGGACUCGCAAGAGCCUCGCGCGAUUGGAGCGGCCGAUAUCAGAUUAGCUAGUUGGUGGGGUAAUGGCCUACCAAGGCUUCGACGGGUAGCCGGCCUGAGAGGGUGACCGGCCACACUGGGACUGAGACACGGCCCAGACUCCUACGGGAGCAGCAGUGGGGAAUAUUGGACAAUGGGCGAAAGCCUGAUCCAGCAAUGCCGCGUGAGUGAUGAA
rnacentral:rRNA from 1 species